AUUGAACGCUGGCGGCAUGCUUUACACAUGCAAGUCGAACGGUAACAGGUUAAGCUGACGAGUGGCGAACGGGUGAGUAAUGCAUCGGAACGUGCCCGGUCGUGGGGGAUAACGCAGCGAAAGCUGCGCUAAUACCGCAUACGAUCUGAGGAUGAAAGCGGGGGACCGUAAGGCCUCGCGCGAUCGGAGCGGCCGAUGUCAGAUUAGGUAGUUGGUGGGGUAAAGGCUCACCAAGCCGACGAUCUGUAGCUGGUCUGAGAGGACGACCAGCCACACUGGGACUGAGACACGGCCCAGACUCCUACGGGAGGCAGCAGUGGGGAAUUUUGGACAAUGGGCGCAAGCCUGAUCCAGCAAUGCCGCGUGCAGGAAGAAGGCCUUCGGGUUGUAAACUGCUUUUGUACGGAGCGAAAAGGCUCUCUCUAAUACGGGGGGCUCAUGACGGUACCGUAAGAAUAAGCACCGGCUAACUACGUGCCAGCAGCCGCCGCAG
rnacentral:rRNA from 1 species